GACGAACGCUGGCGGCGUGCCUAAUACAUGCAAGUUGAGCGCUGAAGGUUGGUACUUGUACCUAUUGGAUGAGCAGCGAACGGGUGAGUAACGCGUGGGGAAUCUGCCUUUGAGCGGGGGACAACAUUGGGAAACGAAUGCUAAUACCGCAUAAUAACUUUAAACACAAGGUUUAAGAUUGAAAGAUGCAAUUGCUUCACUCAAAGAAGAUACCGCGUUGUCUUAGCUAGUUGGUGAGGUAAAGGCCCACCAAGGCGAAGAUACAUAGCCGACCUGGUGGGGGGGUCGGCCCCAUCGGGACUGAGACCCGGCCCAAACCCCUACCGGGAGCAGCAGGAGGGAAACUUCGGCCAUGGACGGAAAGCCGACCGAGGCACGCCGGGGUAGUGAAUGAAGUUUUCGGGUCGUAAAACUCUUUUUGUAGGGAAGGACGAUAUUUGUAAUUAAAAGCUCAUCAAGUGACGGUAACUACCCAGAAAGAGACGGCUAACUACGUG
rnacentral:rRNA from 1 species